rnacentral:pre_miRNA from 11 species
AGAGUGGAAUGCAGCCAAGRAUGAYUUGCCGGAAUUUAUAUAUAGUGAGAAGAGAAGAGGCUAUAGGCUUUCACAUAUAUAGUGAACCCUGGCAAGUUGUCCUUGGCUACAUUUGAUUCUCU